rnacentral:misc_RNA from 1 species
GGAAUCGUGAGGAACAUGAUCAGGUUGAGAGACUCGGACGACGUCGUCCCAAGUGAAGCUACUGGUACUGGCUCUACUGCUUCUAGUAUUAGAAAUAAGGGCGCGAAGUGGAAAUGUCCGCGCCGUUGAGGGCAUCUUAGGAGGAGCAAUAAAGGAUUUUGAUGCGCAGAGAGAAGAAAAUGAGAAACGGAGUUUGGUUGAAAAAUGGUGGUGACGGUGAGGAAUGCAACAUUCCAUCGGAGCUGAAAACUGGACGGAGAAGAUUAU